UCGUUCGUCACUUGCUCGCCUGCUUGGCUAGUCUUUUGUCGCUCGUGGAUGUGCAAGUAGUAGUUUACUUUCGCGUUCCUACCUGGGCUGGCUACACUACAGUGCGGACUGGGAUAAAGAUCGACAGAGGGAUUCCCUUAGAAACUUUCAGUGGAUCUAGAUCUAGAUUCUAGAAUCUAGAUCUAAUUCGUUUCGGUGUUGUUUGGAGACUUGACAUGACUGUGUGUGGCACUCUGACCCAAGGAGGAAGAUUUCGUUAGAAAAAGCGACCACUCGGGCGUUGUUGGAAGAAGAAGAAGAGAUCUCGCAGGGCCGUAAAUCUUCUGUAAAUUGUGUAAUAUUUAUUGUAUUUAUUUUUAAAAUUGUGUUUUAGCAUUCUUUGUGUGCGUGUGGUUGAGUCUGUGAAGGAUUUGCGAAGAUAUCCUCUGUGGUCGAGGGUUGGUGUCCGGAUUAUUGACGCAUGUUUUACAGUGUCACUCUUGACAAGGAGAGAUUGCAAGUUCAAAAGUCUUCAACCUUAUCUCAACCCCAACGGUACUAAAGGCACCGGCUGCUGACUGCUUCAGCCCGAAUAGCACGGCUGUCUUUGUGUGUGUCGUCCCUGACUGGAUGACCACAGGUAUACUGGGCUCCUGGAUUUACAACAUCACCGCCUAGGAGAGUUUCAUUUGGCACUACCAGUACACACACAGAAGGAUUGCCACAUCUGAUACAGACAGGAGUAACUAACGAAAGGGUGAGUUGUGUGCGGAUAUGAAUUUGUAUGGUACAGAUUGAGUGUUAUUGAGUCGAUGUGAUCCUCUUUACUCACACAAACUAUAAUUUGGUUCCUGCACUUUGAGUAACCUAGAAGUGUUUUGGUCUUGAAGAUUUUAGGAGCGAACUAGUGUCGAGAGAAAGCUCAGACAUUGCAUUAUGGCGACGUGGUGAAAGUACUAUAGUGCGGUAAAAAAUUCGUGAUGCAACUUAUCUUCAAAGUAUAUCUCUUUAUCGGGUGAAUCAAUGUCAUCCAUACUUUACACAGCUUUUUGUAUCAGUUUGUCUUAACUUAAUC